rnacentral:rRNA from 1 species
AGAGUUUGAUCCUGGCUCAGGACGAACGCUGGCGGCGUGCCUAAUACAUGCAAGUCGAACGAGGCUCAUUCGGUGGCAACACCGGAGAAGGCCUAGUGGCGAACGGGUGAGUAGCACGUGAGCAACCUGCCCCGAAGACUGGGAUAACACCGGGAAACCGGUGCUAAUACCGGAUGUCCCCACCGGAUCGCAUGGUCUGG